UCCUCAGUGCACAGGAUUGAACUGAGGCAUUUAAGAGCUGCACCAAUUCUCUCUCCAGCUGGAACACCCCCUCUUGCAAGGAGAAGGGCUGACAGAGGAGUGGAUGAGUUCCUUGCCCUGGGAUCUGUAGGAUGGGCAGUGGCAGCCGCAUCCCUGGCUCACUGUGGGGAGAAAGAAAGUACUUGUGCUCACACAGAGCCAAAGAGACUGUCUGCUAACUCCUGUAGCUGUCUAAGCAUCAGACACCUGAAUUUUCAGACCCUUCAGAGCCAUCGAGGAUGGAAGCUUUUGGAUGAAAAAGCAAGAGGAAACCAAAGGAAAAUGAGGAUUUGAAAGAACAGUGCUUGUCAGAAGAGACCAGCAGUGCAUCAUCACUGUACAUCUGCUGCUCCAGUGCCUUGUUUGAGGGAGAACAUCAGGAGGGAAAACAUCAGCAGGGAGGUCUUACUCUCCUCUGCAGUCUUCCACAAGGAGUUCAGCUGUCAGUCAGUGGUUAAGGUGUGGAGUGGAACGAGGUUCUUUACUGCCCUGGAUAUUCUCUCAAAAGUUGGAAGCGUCUCCUUCUGCUUUCCUUAGAAAACGGGGGUGAUGGUACUUCCUAUUUUUCAGGGCUCCCUAACCAGCUGUGUCAGGAAGCAGGGAUUUGCAGGAGGAGGGCCCCUUGAAAAUAGUGCCUGUCUGGUGAUAUCCCCUCUGUUUGCAUUUUUGUCUGUAGCCACAGUUAUGACUGUGCUUAAAUAAAG
rnacentral:lncRNA from 13 species